rnacentral:rRNA from 1 species
UACGUAGGUGACCAGCGUUGUCCGGAUUUACUGGGCGUAAAGAGCGCGCAGGCGGUCGUUCAAGUCGAGUGUGAAAGCCCCCGGCUCAACUGGGGAGGGUCACUCGAUACUGAUCGACUGGAAGGCAGGAGAGGGAAGCGGAAUUCCCGGUGUAGUGGUGAAAUGCGUAGAUAUCGGGAGGAACACCAGUGGCGAAGGCGGCUUCCUGGCCUGUUCUUGACGCUGGGGCGCGAAAGCUAGGGGAGCAAACGGG